UCACGACGUUGUAAAACGACGUUAUGCAUGAACGUAAUGCGCUCACGACGUUGUAAAACGACGUUAUGCAUGAACGUAAUGCUCAUAAUUUUCCGUUAGAUUUGGCUGUUGUUCAAGUUCUAUCUACAAAUGGAUAAGAUUCUUUCCUGGUGUAUAUGAGUUCUUGAAAGUAAAGGAGCAAUCUUGAUAAAGCAAGAAAAAACUAAUUGCUCCUUUACUUAUUUGUUUUCACUCUUACUAGGUUGUUUUAAUCUUUAUCUUAUCGCAUAUGUAUGGUUUUGUUAACUAAAGUAAA
rnacentral:misc_RNA from 1 species